AGACAGUGCCUUGUUGAUUCUGGAGAAAAUCAGCGACAGGAAUCUCAUUAACUGCACCAACGCUGCUCUGCAGACGCCCUUGCAUGUAGCAGCCAGGAAGGGAUUGACAGUGGUGGUCCAGGAGCUGCUGGUGAAAGAGCCAGUGUGUUAGCUGUGGAUGAGAAUGGUUACACUCCAGCUUUGGCUUGUGCUCCCAAUCGGGAUGUAGCUGACUGCUUGGCCCUCAUCCUCAACUCAAUGAUGCCCACCUCACCCAUGGUCACAUAGCAGCUUUGCCCACUCUCU